GAGCCAUUUAGGUAUCUCCUUACCUUGUUUGAAUUUUGUUUCUCUAUUAGCUCUUUUUGUCUAUUAGUUUUCAGGUUCAAGUCCUCCUUUCUUGAUAUAAAAGAUCAAAGCAAAAUUAAGAGUUAGGCAUAUCUGUUUUCUGUCAUUGCUUCAAGUGAUGGAUAUACCAUGUUUAUUUUUUUCUUGGUCUGUAAACUAAAAACUGCUUAAAACAAACAAAUAAAAAUGAGAGAGAGAGAGAGAGAGAGAGAGAGAGAGAGAGAGAGAGAGAAGAUAUGAAUGCAGGCCUAUAUUAUAUUUUCCGGCAUUUUGCUCAAGCAGUCGUGUGUACCACUUGUUUGUAUUUAUCCCACCCUUAUCUCCUCUUCCAUAUAUAGAUUUAUCUAAAACAAAAAUAGAAACAAAACAAAACAAAACAAAAAACCCUGAACUCAAGGAGAGCUCACUUUGUUUGCCAGAUCAUUUUGUUCCAUUACUAGAUGAGUCAGAAUAUAAUUUUAGCCACCAUCUAAUUUUAUUUUUUUUAUUUUAGUGCUGGGGAUUAAACUCGGGACCUUAUGCAUUCCAGGCAAAUGCUCUAUCACUGAGCUACACCUCAGACUCUAAUCUAUUCUUGUUUUAAUUUUUUUUUUUUUUGAAUCCAAGUGCAUAGGAUAUUCUCUUCUAGGAAUCUUGUGAAUUCUGAGUAAAUUCCUAUAUUCUUCCAAGAUUCAGGAUGAAAUGAUGAGCUAUCAGGAUUUGUACCAUCAUGGAUUCCUUAUCUCUUUGUCUGCAUUUUAUGUGCUGUAACAGAAUACCACAGACUGGAUAAAGAAAAUAAAUUGAUUUUUUUAUAAUUCUUUUAAGUUGGGAAUUCCAAGCUUUUAGGAGCCUGCAUCUGAUAAAGGCCUUUUUGCUACAUGAUCCCGUGAUAGAAAGUGGUAGAGAAAGAAAGCACUUGUGAGACAGAUUGAACUCAAGAGCAGAUGCAAGUCAACCUACAAUCCUAGCGAUUCAAGAGGCUGAGACAGGAGGAUCAGGAGGCUGAAGAGGAACACAAAUUUGAGGCCAGACUGUUUUAAAAAUAAAAAGGGCUUACCAAAUGUCUUCUUUGAUAUAAGGAGAGCAACUAAGAACAGAGCAGGGAGGAAGAGCAGGAAGAAAAGAUUAACAUUAAACAGAUACAUGAGGUGGGAUGGAAAGGGAGAGAAAAGGGAAAUUGCAUGGUAAUGGAGGGAGACCCUCAUUGUUAUACAAAAUUACAUAUAAG
rnacentral:lncRNA from 1 species